GGCCUUGACAUACUAAGAACUUUCCAGAGAUGGAUUGGUGCCUUCGGGAACUUAGAUACAGGUGCUGCAUGGCUGUCGUCAGCUCGUGUCGUGAGAUGUUGGGUUAAGUCCGCAACGAGCGCAACCUUUUCCUAUUUGCCAGCGGGUAAUGCCGGGAACUUUAAGGAUACUGCCAGUGACAAACUGGAGGAAGGCGGGGACGACGUCAAGUCAUCAUGGCCCUUACGGCCAGGGCUACACACGUGCUACAAUGGUCGGUACAAAGGGUUGCUACCUCGCGAGAGGAUGCUAAUCUCAAAAAGCCGAUCGUAGUCCGGAUCGCAGUCUGCAACUCGACUGCGUGAAGUCGGAAUCGCUAGUAAUCGCGGAUCAGAAUGCCGCGGUGAAUACGUUCCCGGGCCUUGUACACACCGCCCGUCACACCAUGGGAGUUUGUUGCACCAGAAGUAGGUAGUCUAACCACAAGGAGGACGCUUACCACGGUGUGGCCGAUGACUGGGGUGAAGUCGUAACAAGGUAAGCGUAGAUGA
rnacentral:rRNA from 1 species